AAAUUAUCCUCAUAAGUUAGACGAAAAGAGGUACCAUUUAUAAAUUAAAUUCUUAAGACCUUCUAUCGAACUCAACCUUUGUUUUUGAUGGAGCUCUAAAUUUAUAGAUAAAUGGUGGCACAGAAUCGGAGGCCCCGACUGUUUACUAAAAACACAACACAGUGCAAUCAUUAAUAUGAUAGUAUACUGUGUGAAAUUUGCCCAAUGCCAUUAAUAUAAAAGCGGUCAUGGGAAACUGUGACUAAUUGAAAAUCUGGUUAAUAGCGGUCUUAACCAUGAGGAUCCUAAGGUAGCAAAAUAAAUUGGCCAUUAAAUGUGGUCCGGUAUCAAUAAUGUAACGAUGGCCUCACUGUCUCUACAACUUGCUCAGUGAAAUUGAAUUACGCGUGCAGAUGCGCGUUACCUCCAGGGGGACGGGAAGACCCUAUGCACUUCU
rnacentral:rRNA from 1 species